UAGGGAAUCUUCGGCAAUGGACGAAAGUCUGACCGAGCAACGCCGCGUGAGUGAAGAAGGUUUUCGGAUCGUAAAACUCUGUUGUUAGAGAAGAACAAGGACGUUAGUAACUGAACGUCCCCUGACGGUAUCUAACCAGAAAGCCACGGCUAACUACGUGCCAGCAGCCGCGGUAAUACGUAGGUGGCAAGCGUUGUCCGGAUUUAUUGGGCGUAAAGCGAGCGCAGGCGGUUUCUUAAGUCUGAUGUGAAAGCCCCCGGCUCAACCGGGGAGGGUCAUUGGAAACUGGGAGACUUGGGUGCAGAAGAGGAGAGUGGAAUUCCAUGUGUAGCGGUGAAAUGCGUAGAUAUAUGGAGGAACACCAGUGGCGAAGGCGGCUCUCUGGACUGUAACUGACGCUGAGGCUCGAAAGCGUGGGGAGCAAACAGG
rnacentral:rRNA from 1 species